rnacentral:rRNA from 1 species
UUGAACGCUGGCGGCAUGCUUUACACAUGCAAGUCGAACGGUAACAGGCCUUCGGGUGCUGACGAGUGGCGAACGGGUGAGUAAUGCAUCGGAACGUGCCCAGAGGUGGGGGAUAACGCAGCGAAAGCUGUGCUAAUACCGCAUGUGAUCUGAGGAUGAAAGCGGGGGACCAGGCAGCAAUGUUUGGCCUCGCGCCUUUUGAGCGGCCGAUGUCAGAUUAGGUAGUUGGUGGGGUAAAGGCCUACCAAGCCGACGAUCUGUAGCUGGUCUGAGAGGACGACCAGCCACACUGGGACUGAGACACGGCCCAGACUCCUACGGGAGGCAGCAGUGGGGAAUUUUGGACAAUGGGCGCAAGCCUGAUCCAGCAAUGCCGCGUGCGGGAAGAAGGCCUUCGGGUUGUAAACCGCUUUUGUACGGAACGAAAAGGCUCUGGCUAAUACCUGGGGCUGAUGACGGUACCGGAAGAAUAAGCACCGGCUAACUACGUG